CAGUGGGGAAUAUUGGACAAUGGGCGCAAGCCUGAUCCAGCCAUGCCGCGUGGGUGAAGAAGGCCUUCGGGUUGUAAAGCCCUUUUGUUCGGGACGAAAUCGUACGGGUGAAUAUCCCGUGCGGAUGACGGUACCGGAAGAAUAAGCACCGGCUAACUUCGUGCCAGCAGCCGCGGUAAUACGAAGGGUGCAAGCGUUACUCGGAAUUACUGGGCGUAAAGCGUGCGUAGGCGGUUUGUUAAGUCCGCUGUGAAAGCCCUGGGCUCAACCUGGGAAUUGCAGUGGAUACUGGCAAGCUAGAGUGCGGUAGAGGAUGGUGGAAUUCCCGGUGUAGCGGUGAAAUGCGUAGAGAUCGGGAGGAACACCCGUGGCGAAGGCGGCCAUCUGGACCAGCACUGACGCUGAGGCACGAAAGCGUGGGGAGCAAACAGGAUUAGA
rnacentral:rRNA from 1 species